CCGCCACCCGCAGCCGUGCGGCUGCCCGCCCGCCCGCUCCAAGCUUCCCGGCCCCGCGCCCGCUCGCCGCAGCCAAGGGGAAACCGAGACGGAAGGGAAAAAGUUGCAGUUGGGAUUGCGAGGGUCGGCUUUGGGGAGGGAGAGUUGGCAAGCUGGCUGCGCGACACGAAAGGCGCUCUCCUCUCCACUUUUUGGCCCUCGUGCUGCCCGGUUUUGCUGCAAUCUCGACAGCCGGGAGGAAGUGAAAUGUACGUGGCCGAGGUGACAGGGGAGCGCACCCGAGCCUGGGUGGGGGGCACAGGCUCGCGGAUGGUGACUGGGGGGCCAGGAACGCACAGGAACCCCAGAGAGCCACCCGGACCCAGGGACCGGGGCUGCAGACGCGCAGACCUAGAUGUGAAUGACACUCACUUCCGUAAUCAAGAGUCCGGGAAGCUGGGCUUGGCUGGGAGGGGACUGCGGGGCAUGGCACGCUUGAUGCCCCUAUGCCCACUGCGCCUUCUUGGCAAAGGGUUUUACGUUCGGCCUUGGGCAAGCAGGGAGCAGAGAUGGACAGAACAAGCACUGAAAGGGCUGCGCUGGAGAGCUGAGGUGGCCCGGGCAAGACGUGCCUGUAGAGAAACGGCAGGGAAAUUGAGAUGCAAGGGGCAUUUUUUGGCAAGCGCCACGCCAGCACCGUCAGAGACCGGCUUCUCGGGCUCAGCUCUGGGGUGCGCUGAGCUGGCUGCCCGGUGAGGGGGCGGGCGGGCUGCUUUCUCCGGAUUCGGGGGGCGCAGAACCUCCCACCUUCCCUCCCACCCAAGCACUCCUUCCUGGUAGGGGCGCAAAACAGGUGCAGCCUUCGGUGCGAGUUCAGCUCUUGUCGGGGAGAGGGAGUCCCCGCAUUUGGCCUUGACAGGAAUUUUUUUUAAUAAAAUAAAUGUAAAGAUGCCAAGUAUGAGCGGUUUGCUGAGAAAACCCGAGCAUCCGCUGUAGGAAAGGAGAAGAAAGGGUUAGGGGAGUCCGAGUAGGCAGACACUACAGCAUUCACAGGAGAAGAAAGCAGGGCUCUCCUCCCCGAGCUUGGAUGAGGGCAGGCGAGGAAGCAAAAUACAGUGAAUUCAACUGCAUCCAGUAUCUGAAAGGCUUCUCCCCCGCCCCCCUGUGGAUUCCGAUGCAGGUCAUGCAACUUGCAGGCAAAAUGGGGGAAGGGGUAUGCUGGUGUCUCAGCCUGCCCCAGGAGCAACCACUGACAGACCUGAUGUCUAUGAGCGGCACUGUCGCUGGGAGAAAACUUGUGACAAAAAAAAAAAAAAGAAGGAAAAAAGAAAGAAAAGAACAUGCCUAUAAAAGGCAGUUUCCCCAACUUCCCGUCAUAUUCCGCCUUCCCUUGGCCUCAGUGAGACUUUUAGGCCCUGUCACCAUUAUGGCCUUGUCCCCAGAAUGGCAUUUUGCCCUCCCACCAGCAGGAGGGGACAGAGUGGAGACAGCCUUAGACUCUCAAACAGCUCCUACUGGCCCGAGGCCAGUCCCUGGUGUCCUUGUCCACUGGGAAUCUCCCUGCCACUUCAAGUACUAUUCUGUGACUGGUUUUUGAAUGUCUGUUUUAGACACAGGGAAACUGAGGUGUAGUCAAAAACACUCAAGCUUGGCCUCUCUUGGGAAGUGGCAGGUGGCAGCAGAGAAACAUGGAACUUUCCUCAAACAACACAGGGGAGAUUGAACAACCACCGCAUGCCAAGAGGAUUCAAAACAGCAUUGGUUCCCCAACCUGGAGCAAAAAUGGUUGUGUCUAAAAGAUGCUCAGUACCACCACCACCCUUUCUUUAAGAAAGAAUAUAUGAUUUUAACUUCUCUGACAAAGAAGGAUAGGCAUUCAUAAGUCAGAUUAAAAAUAAAAAUAAAAAUUUUAGGAACCCUUUUGGAGAUGGUCUUUCAUCUUUGAUAGUGAAAUGGGGUUCUAGUGGAUGCUAUGGUUAUGCUUUGGGCCUACU
rnacentral:lncRNA from 1 species